GAUGAACGCUGGCGGCGUGCCUAACACAUGCAAGUCGAACGAGAAGCUAACCUUUGAUUCCUUCGGGAUGAUCAGGUUGGCAGAAAGUGGCGAACGGGUGAGUAACGCGUGGGUAAUCUACCCUAAAGUGGGGGAUAACCCUCCGAAAGGAGGGCUAAUACCGCAUAAUAUCUUCUCCUCUAAAGAGGUAAAGAUUAAAGGUGGCCUCUAUUUAUAAGCUAUCACUUUAGGAUGAGCCCGCGUCCUAUUAGUUAGUUGGUGGGGUAAUGGCCUACCAAGACCACAAUGGGUAGCCGGUCUGAGAGGAUGUACGGCCACACUGGGACUGAGAUACGGCCCAGACUCCUACGGGAGGCAGCAGUGGGGAAUAUUGCGCAAUGGGGGAAACCCUGACGCAGCGACGCCGCGUGGACGAUGAAGGCCUUCGGGUUGUAAAGUCCUGUUCUGGGGGAAGAAACCUUAAGGGUCCAAUAAACCCUUAAGCUGACGGUACC
rnacentral:rRNA from 1 species